rnacentral:rRNA from 1 species
GACGAACGCUGGCGGCGUGCUUAACACAUGCAAGUCGAACGGAAAGGCCCUGCUUUUGUGGGGUGCUCGAGUGGCGAACGGGUGAGUAACACGUGAGUAACCUGCCCUUGACUUUGGGAUAACUUCAGGAAACUGGGGCUAAUACCGGAUAGGAGCUCCUGCUGCAUGGUGGGGGUUGGAAAGUUUCGGCGGUUGGGGAUGGACUCGCGGCUUAUCAGCUUGUUGGUGGGGUAGUGGCUUACCAAGGCUUUGACGGGUAGCCGGCCUGAGAGGGUGACCGGCCACAUUGGGGUUGAGAUACGGCCCAGCCUCCUACGGGAGGCAGCAGUGGGGAAUAUUGCACAAUGGGCGGAAGCCUGAUGCAGCAACGCCGCGUGCGGGAUGACGGCCUUCGGGUUGUAAACCGCUUUCGCCUGUGACGAAGCGUGAGUGACGGUAAUGGGUAAAGAAGCACCGGCUAACUACGUG